UUGAAACUUGCCAUUCUCUCUCUCUCUCUCUCUCUCUCUCUCUCUCUCUCUUUGUGUGGGUGUGUCAGAGAGAGAGAGACAGGGGGGAGAGAGAGAGAGAGAGAGAGAGAGAGAGAGAGAGAGAGAGAUGGAACCU
rnacentral:miRNA from 1 species